CACAUAUUCCGCCUCACAUGAGGAUAAAGCCUACUGAUGAUUAAGUCAACAAACCCACAAAUUUACAAUAUUCAAAUGCUAUGUAACAUCGUCAUUUCAGACUAGGUGUACAAACAUUGAAACCAUAAGUAUGGUUUUAUGGUUUUAGCAAGUUAUACACUGAAACCAUUUACCAAGAGUAAUGGUUUUGGUUUCACUGUAUAAACUACUGAAAUCAUUUUCAAAAUCAAAUUAGAAUCAAUACAAGUUAAAUCAAAAUCAAAAUCAUUCAACAUCAGAAUGAAAACAACAUUAUGCAUAUCAGAAUCAAAAUUAAAAUCAAAAUCAAAAUCAAAAUCAAAAUCAACUUAGAAUCUCAUAUUAGAAUCAAAAUCAAUUAUCAAAAUCAGAAACAAAAUCAAUGGUGAAACCUAAUUCUCAAACCAGACUAAAUGAAUUUAGUUUANNNNNNNNNNNNNNNNNNNNNNNNNNNNNNNNNNNUGAAACACAAUGAAGGUUGAAUGUUGAACGACGAUGAAUGAUGAUGUUGAAGAUGAAACACACUAACUCGACGGUGAACUCGACGGCGAUGGGGAAGGUUGAACGAACGCAACGGCGAGAGAUUGUUUUGUGAAUCUGAAAAUUGCGUACGUGGAUGGGGGUGUGCGUAGCAAUGGAUGGGGGUGCGGGUAGCAAUGGAUUUGGGCUUAUGGACGGUGCAUAAGCUUGGACUUAUGCACCUUAACC
rnacentral:lncRNA from 1 species